ACUCCCUGUUUUGCGAAUCCGUUGAAUAUGUCCAUUUGGAGUGGUCAAUUUGAAAUGUUUUUUUGGUUGUUAAAAUGGAUCGGUAAUAAGUUCGGGGAGGACUCUAUUAAUAUUGUAAAGGAAAUUAUUUUAGGAAGGCCUAAAGAAAAGACGGCAUUGCAUUGGACAUUUUUUCCGACGGCCAAUGCACUUCUUAACGAUGUGAGCCCGUUAAAAUUUUUUUUGAACUGGCUAAAUUUAAACCUGGUGCCUAGGUUUCCAGGAAUUUUGGAUGCCAUUUUGCUGAAACGCGGUGAAAACGAAGAAACUGUUUUGCACUUUGGAAUUGAGAUGGGCAACUGGGACCUGAUUGAAUAUUUUCUAGAGUGGAUCAAAUCACGUUACGAUGAUCCUGAGCUGCUUAACAAGUUGGUGUUGAUGACUACUCCGAGAGGCACCGUAUUUUUCGAAGCGGUGUUCUGGAACCACGGUGAAUUGCUUCAAAAGGUUUUUAAUUGGAUGAAAAACAACCUUCAUCCCAAUGUGUUGAAAACCUUGGUGUUGAUAACACAUGAUGGAAAAACUAUUCUUGAUGUCAUGGUUGAUAAAUCUAGUGAUUCCUACACUCAUAUAAUAACUGAUGUUAAGCAAAUGUGUGAUCAAUUCUUGAUUGACGUGGAAAAGGCAAGUGUACAUGGUCUCCAAUUUUCCGAAGAAGAAGCUCUCAGUUUGAAAGAGUAUCGUCACAGAUAUCACAGCAACGAAAUCCUAUAAAAUUUGAAAAAUGCCGAUCUUGGUAUUUUCGGGAACCUGCAUGUUUGUGGAACCAACGUUAACGAAAAUAAAAGCUCCCUUAGUUUUGGUUAAGUGGCUGUUUCCGUUUGUGGACGGAGGUUGUGACACCAAGGCAAAAACCGAUGGCACUAACCAAAAUAACUGGUUUCUGUAUGCGACUACAUAGAUUUACAGGAAAGACGGGAAUUUAGCAGCCAUUUUUUCUCCCACUUUGAUAAAAUAUUUAUUGAAGAUAUUAGCCACUUAAGUCGGCUUUUAUUGUCAUUUGUAACUUCAAUAAUUAGUUCAUACAUUUUCAUAUUAUUUUUAAUAUUUUCGUUUACUUUUUCCAUAUAAAAAUAGGUAAUGCAAGUGUGGGAUUUUUAUUAGGUUUUUUUUUUCAUUUCGUCUCUAGUUUUUAUAUAAUUUACUAUUCCAUUUGUAAUAUAUGGUUUUAUCUCACGGUAGUGCUGCUAUUCCAGGGUCAUAAAUAUCUAGAAUAUCAUUUAGUUCAUAUUAUAAGCUAACCUACUAAAUUUGUUAAAGUUAACUCUAU